ACCCGCACCCGCAGACGCAGCAAGCACUCCCCCCCUGUUAUCCAAGAAGUACACUGUUCCGGCGCCCCAAGGUCGACGGCCGCCUCCGUCCGCCCGCUCGCCGUCGCGACUCCUUCCUCCCCAUGCGGCGUCCUCGGGCGGUUCGAUGACCAUAGCAUGUGGUUUCUCUCGCUUCCUCAACACGCGCGUGCAUUCCUCCACAAAUCGCGUCCUCAGCCUCUGGUUCGCCUCCUGUCCCUGCUCCUCCGCCUCCGCCUCCGCCUUCGCCUCGGAGCCGCCGGAGAUAGCCGCGGGCCCGGAAACCGUCAGGGAAGGGCGGGCGGAGAUAUUCGCGGACAAGUCCAAUUCGGUCUUCUUCAACAAGGCUCAGGUUAACAACAGAGACCUUUCCAUUGCUGUUUUGAGAUGGUUUAUUUUGAAAAGACAGGAAGAGCAUGAUAUCCAAUUAAAAGGCAGGCGUGCUGAGAUACCACCGGAGCAGCAUGCCGAUGGAUUAGACCCUGCUACCACAGGUUCUGAAGACACUGCAUUGAGAAAGGAAUCGAGCCUUAAAGCACCUAAAGUUCUUGAGGCUUUGGCUGCAUCAGGAUUAAGAGCUAUCCGAUAUGCACUUGAGGUGGAUGGAAUUGGGGAAGUUAUAGCUCUUGACAAUAAUGAAGUUGCUAUAGAAUCCUGUAAGAGAAAUAUCUAUCACAAUGGCAUUCUUGCAUCUUCGAAGGUGGUGCCACAUCUUGCUGACGCUCGCAUUUACAUGCUCACUCACCCUAAAGAAUUUGAUGUGGUUGAUCUUGAUCCUUAUGGAUCACCAGCUGCAUUCCUUGAUUCAGCAGUUCAAUGUGUUGCAGAUGGUGGUAUCUUGAUGUGCUCGGCUACAGACAUGGCAGUCCUUGCUGGGGGCAAUGCAGAAGUUUGCUUUUCCAAAUAUGGUUCUUAUCCAGUAAGAGGCAAAUACCGCCAUGAGAUGGCCUUGAGGAUUCUUCUUGCCUGCAUCGAGUCACAUGCGAUCCGCCACAAGCGCUAUAUAGUUCCUGUCAUAUCAGUGCACAUGGAUUUCUACAUUAGGGUUUUUGUGCGAAUCUUCACGUCGGCUAGCACGGUGAAAAGCUCACCUCUCAAAUUUUCACAUGUAUAUCAAUGUGUUGGUUGCAAUUCAUUUCACUUACAAAAUGUUGGAAGAAUAAACUCAAAGGAUAAGAGGAAUAUUCCUCUACCAAAUUUUUGCCCUAUUGUGCCUCAAGAGUGUUCGGAGUGUGGCGGUAAAUUUGUUAUGGGGGGGCCUAUAUGGAGUGAUCCAAUACAUGACAGGGAUUGGGCUGCUUCCAUUUUAUCAAAUAUCCGAGCAACUAGUGGUUUAUAUCAAGCUUAUGCAAAAAUUUCAGCUAUACUAACGUCAGUAUCAGAGGAAGGUGUUAAACAUUCCCAGACCAAAAGGUAGCGACAAAUCUUUAUGUAAAUGGCCUGCUUGCAAUGCAUUCUGGAAACCCAUUGGAUGCCCUGUGUUGUGUGUAACAUCCCAGAUAUCUGCCCUACCUGGUGAAAGCUACCACACUAUCUGAUUACCACCGAGUCAUAUGGAUGUUAUCUGUUAUAAUUCUAAAUUGUCUGCCGUGGAUGUCCCUAUAAACACAGGAAGCUUUGCCAAAAUUUGAGUAUUUCCUAGAGUUGGUGGUAAUCAGAUAGUGUGUUAGCAUCGCCAGGUAGGGGAGACAUCUGGGAUGUUACACUGUGCUCAGAAUCUGCAACUUCUUCUCGGGAAUGUCAGAAUCUGCAACUUGCACCAGAACAAUGCCAUUCCUGACAACAAUCUGUCUACAUGAUAUGUAUCUGGUAGGAAAGAACAUCAACCUUCACUCUCAGCAGCUGGCAUCCUUCAUGGCACACUAACUUUAUUUAUGGCAAUUUGGAAUACCAUUUCCACCAAGCAGGAAUUGCCCAAUGCACCUUUAUUCGUCAGUCUUCACAGUAUAUGUGCAACAUUGAAGUGCACUAAUCCAACCAUGGUUAUGUUUCAUUCGGCUAUAAGAAAUGCUGGGUAUGAAAUAUCAGGUAGCCAUGCGGAUCCGCUAGCUCUGAAAA